GCAGUGGAGAUUCAGUGGUAGGGUUCUCACUUGCCAUGUGGGAGACUGGGUUCAAUUCCCAGCCAAUGUG
rnacentral:tRNA from 1 species